GGGGAUGUAACUCAGUUGGUAAGUGCUUGCCUAUCAUACACAAGUCCUUGGGUUCAAUCCCCAGCACCACCA
rnacentral:tRNA from 1 species